rnacentral:rRNA from 1 species
GAUGAACGCUAGCUAUAGGCUUAACACAUGCAAGUCGAGGGACCGGCGCACGGGUGCGUAACGCGUAUCCAACCUACCCAUACCUAAGGGAUAACCCAGCGAAAGUUGGACUAAUACCUUAUGGUUAUGGAUGGGGAUGCGUCUGAUUAGCUUGUUGGCGGGGUAACGGCCCACCAAGGCAACGAACAGUAGGGGUUCUGAGAGGAAGGUCCCCCACAUUGGAACUGAGACACGGUCCAGACUCCUACGGGAGGCAGCAGUGGGGAAUAUUGCGCAAUGGGCGCAAGCCUGAUGCAGCCAUGCCGCGUGUAUGAAGAAGGCUUCGGGUUGUAAAGUACUUUCGGCGGGGAGCGUUACCCGCAGAAGAAGCACCGGCUAACUCCGUGCCAGCAGCCGCGGUAAUAC